rnacentral:rRNA from 1 species
GUUACGUAGGUGCCAGCGGCGGCGGUAGUCCGUGGGGGGCAAGCGUUGUCCGGAAUCAUUGGGCGUAAAGCGCGUGUAGGCGGCCAGAAAAGUCCGCUGUGAAAACUCGAGGCUCAACGUCGAGCGGUCGGUGGAAACUUUCUGGCUAGAGUCCGGAAGAGGAGAAUGGAAUUCCUGGUGUAGCGGUGAAAUGCGCAGAUAUCAGGAAGAACACCCGUGGCGAAGGCGGUUCUCUGGGACGGUACUGACGCUGAGACGCGAAAGCGUGGGGAGCGAACAGGAUUAGAUACCCUAGUAGUC